AAUCGAAGCAGUGAACUUAAGCCCCAGUAAACGGCGGCCGUAACUAUAACGGUCCUAAGGUAGCGAAAUUCCUUGUCGGGUAAGUUCCGACCCGCACGAAAGGCGUAACGAUUUGGGCACUGUCUCAACAACAGACUCGGUGAAAUUGUAAUUCCGGUGAAGAUGCCGGAUACCUGCGACAGGACGGAAAGACCCCAUGGAGCUUUACUGUAGCUUGACAUUGGGUCUUGGUACUACAUGUACAGGAUAGGUGGGAGGCUUUGAAACCAGGACGCCAGUUUUGGCGGAGCCAUCCUUGGGAUACCACCCUUGUAGUACUGGGACUCUAACCAUAGGCCAUGAAUCUGGUCUUGGGACACUGUCAGGUGGGCAGUUUGACUGGGGCGGUCGCCUCCCAAAAGGUAACGGAGGCGCUCAAAGGUUCUCUCAGUACGGUCGGAAAUCGUACGUAGAGUGUAAAGGCAAAAGAGAGCUUGAGUGCAAGACAUACAGGUCGAGCAAGGAUGAAAAUCGGACUUAGUGAUCCGGUGGUUCGGCGUGGAAGGGCCAUCGCUCAACGGAUAAAAGCUACCCUGGGGAUAACAGGCUUAUCUCCCCCAAGAGUCCACAUCGACGGGGAGGUUUGGCACCUCGAUGUCGGCUCAUCACAUCCUGGGGCUGUAGUAGGUCCCAAGGGUUGGGC
rnacentral:rRNA from 1 species